rfam:Equus caballus chromosome 7, whole genome shotgun sequence.
UUUUUAGUAUGUGUAUGUCCCAUGUAAUAUUUGGGACAUACUCAAACUAAAA